GCUUCCGGGGUCUGUAGCUGGAGCGGAGGAAGAGCAGAAUCAGCUGAACUAAAGAAGAAAUUAAAAUAUUAUAGGAUUUCUCCUGAAAUCUAUGAAAGAGGUGAAACACAAGCCAUCCUGAGGAAUCUCCAGAACACGCAUAAAUUGUUUGAUACAUUUAACAGACAGAGGAAACAGAGGAAAGUCCCGACAUGGAGAAACAUCAGCACUCUGUCAAGAGUUUUACUAAACAGAGUGAUCUCAAAAAACACCAGCGCAUUCACACAGGAGAGAAACCGUAUCACUGCUCAGACUGUGGGAAGAGUUUUACUCAACAGAGUACUCUCAAAAAUCACCAGCGCAUUCACACAGGAGAGAAACCGUAUUACUGCUCAGACUGUGGGAAGAGUUUUAAUCAACAGAUUAAUCUCAAAAUACACCAGCGCAUUCACACAGAAGAGAAACCGUAUUACUGCUCAGACUGUGGGAAGAGUUUUGCUCUACAGAGUACUCUCAAAAUUCACCAGCACAUUCACACAGAAGAGAAACCGUAUCAAUGCUCAGACUGUGGGAAGAGUUUUAAUCAACAGAGUACUCUCAAAAUACAUCAGCGCAUUCACACAGGAGUAAAACCAUAUUUCUGCUCAGACUGUGGGAAGAGUUUUACUCAACAGAGUAAUCUCAAAAAACACCAACGCAUUCACACAGGAGAGAAAACUAUCCCAAAUUUGUUCCACGGCAAUUAAAAGUGCAAAUCCUAAAUCUUUCUGACCGAACACCUUAUCCUACACUAAUGUAUUACUCUGUCACUUGGGACACGUUCCACCAGAAACAAACAUGAACUGAAUUUAACAAUCGAUUUUACAGGUUCAGCAAAAUUAUUCUUAUCCAGGGAUGAUGUUUAUUGAAUUUCAUGUUAUGUUUUCUCGUAUGUUCGAUAUUCCAGAACACUCUGCGUGAGACAGAGCUCAGUUUUUAGGGUAGUUACAGUAAGAGUUCAGCUCUGAAGAAGGGAAUGUCUUUCAAGUUCGAACUACGCCAUUGCCAGAGCUUGCUCCAGACAUUAGAUUAGCAUUAGAUUAACAUAGUCUUUAACAUUUAGAUGUCAUAGUUGUUAGGAGGAGAGUAGGAUUCUUGCAACUAUACGAUUUUGUUGCUGGAACACCCACUACACCCACUUUGCCUAUUUUUGGUGGCCUAAUGUAAUUUAAUAACUUUCCCCACCUGAACACACACAUACCACAAACCCCAUCCAGGAUGCAUUGGAAUUAGAAUAAAAGCCUUUGAUGACUCUUUUCACAACUCAAACCUACAUAUCAAAUGACAUAUCUGACUUUUUCAUCUCUCCAGUCCUCUCAAGAGACCUAAAUGCUAGUUGGGUAAACCUUGUACAUAUUCCUCCAGCAAACACUAAUUCAGACAACCGUCAAACUUUGGACUUCUACGACAUUAAAUAGUCACCAUCUAUGACUGUCUCCCAAAUGAGGUGGACCAACAGUGCCAUCAUCAGGACGAAGACCCGACUACAAAUAUAAUAUAAUAUAAUUCAACUUGCUAAAAUCCACAGAAACGCAAUCCAUAAAGAGUUACUGCAA